UGAGUACGAGAUGCUACGGCAUCGAAGCAGUCUAUGUCAUACUUCCAAGAAAAGCUUGCACUGUCAAAAACAAAUAAUGCCUGUACCAUAACCGACACAGGUGGGUAGGUAGAGUAUACUAAGGGGCGCGAGAUAACUCUCUCUAAGGAACUCGGCAAAAUGACUCCGUAACUUCGGGAGAAGGAGUGCCUUAUUUAUAAGGUUGCAAUAACAAGAUCCAAGCAACUGUUUACCAAAAACACAGGUCUCCGCGAAGUCGUAAGACGAUGUAUGGGGGCUGACGCCUGCCCAGUGCCAGAAGGUUAAAGAAGUUGGUUAGCACUCGCGAAGCUGAUAACUGAAGCCCUGGUGAACGGCGGCCGUAACGAUAACGGUCCUAAGGUAGCGAAAUUCCUUGUCGGGUAAGUUCCGACCCGCACGAAAGGCGUAAUGAUUUGGAUACUGUCUCGGAGAGGGGCUCGGUGAAAUAGACUUGUCUGUGAAGAUGCGGACUACCUGCACCUGGACAGAGAGACCCUAUGAAGCUUUACUGUAACUUGAAAUUGAAAUUGGACUUUAUUUGCGCAGUAUAGGUGGGAGGCAUUGAGAAUAAUCUUGCGGGAUUAUUGGAGCCAUCAGUGAGAUACCACUCUUGUAAUGUUAGAUUUCUAACUUUGUAUCAUUAUCUGGUCAAAGAACAGUUUCAGGCGGGCAGUUUGACUGGGGCGGUCGCCUCCCAAACGGUAACGGAGGCGCACAAAGGUUUCCUCUGAACGGGUAGAAAUCGUAUCUAGAGUGUAAAGGCAUAAGGAAGCUUGACUGUGAGACCUACGAGUCGAGCAGGGACGAAAGUCGGUCUUAGUGAUCUGACGGUGCUGAGUGGAAAGGCCGUCACUCAACGGAUAAAAGUUACUCUAAGGAUAACAGGCUGAUCUCCCCCAAGAGUUCACAUCGACGGGGAGGUUUGGCACCUCGAUGUCGGCUCAUCGCAUCCUGGGGCGGUAGUACGUCCCAAGGGUUGGGCUGUUCGCCCAUGAAAGCGGUACGCGAGCUGGGUUCAGAACGUCGUGAGACAGUUCGGUCCAUAUCCGGUGUAGGCGUUAGAAUAUUGAGAGGAGCCUUCUCUAGUACGAGAGGACCGAGAAGGACAUACCUCUGGUGUACCAGUUAUCGUGCCAACGGUAAACGCUGGGUAGCUAUGUGUGGAGUGGAUAACCGCUGAAAGCAUCUAAGUGGGAAGCCCACCUCAAGAUAAGUAUUCUCACC
rnacentral:rRNA from 1 species